rnacentral:rRNA from 1 species
UACGUAGGGCGCAAGCGUUGUCCGGAUUUAUUGGGCGUAAAGAGCUCGUAGGCGGUCCGUCACGUCGGCUGUGAAAACCCGAGGCUCAACCUCGGGCCUGCAGUCGAUACGGGCAGACUAGAGUGCGGUAGGGGAGACUGGAAUUCCUGGUGUAGCGGUGAAAUGCGCAGAUAUCAGGAGGAACACCGGUGGCGAAGGCGGGUCUCUGGGCCGUAACUGACGCUGAGGAGCGAAAGCGUGGGAAGCGAACAGG